GGGGCUUUAGCUCAACUGGGAGAGCGCCUGCUUUGCAAGCAGGAGGUAGCGAGUUCGAGUCUCGCAAGCUCCACCA
rnacentral:tRNA from 1 species